rnacentral:rRNA from 1 species
GGGGGGGGGUGGGGGGGGGGGGGGGGGGGGGGGGGGGGGGGGGGAGGGGGGGCGGUGGUGGGGGGGUCGGGUGGCGAGCGGGUGGGUAGGGGGGGGGUAACCUGGCCUUGGCUUUGGGAUGCGUUCGUGACGCUGGGGCUCCUGCCCGCGCGGAUCUGAUGCUGGGUGGAGGUGUGUGGAAAGGUUCUCCGGUGUGGGAUGGACUCGCGGCUUAUCAUCUUGUUGGUGGGGUAGUUGCUUACCGAGUAUUUGGCGGGUAGCCGUCCUGAGAGGGUGACCGGCCAAAUCGGGACUGAGAUACGGCCCAGACUCCUACGGGAGGCAGAAGUGGGGAAUAGUGCACAAUGGGCGGAAGCAUGAUGCAGCAACGCCGCGUGCGGGAUGACGGCCUUCGGUUUGUAAACCGCUUUCGCCUGUGACGAAGCGUGAGUGACGGUAAUGGGUAAAGAAGCACCGGCUAACUACGUG